UACGUAGGGCGCGAGCGUUGUCCGGAAUCAUUGGGCGUAAAGCGCGUGUAGGCGGCUCGAUAAGUCCGCUCUGAAAGUCCAGGGCUCAACCCUGGGAUGCGGGUGGAUACUGUCGGGCUCGAGUCCGGAAGAGGCGAGUGGAAUUCCUGGUGUAGCGGUGGAAUGCGUAGAGAUCGGGAAGAACACCGGUGGCGAAGGCGGUUAGCUGGGCAGUUGCUGGACACUGAGGCGCGACAGCGUGGGGAGCAAACAGG
rnacentral:rRNA from 1 species